rnacentral:tRNA from 1 species
UCCGAUGUGACAGAAACUGUGCUAGAUUUAAAAUCUAUCUAUGGCCUAGCCCUUCGGUU